CUUCUUGAGAUUAUAGGAAGUCGUGCCUGCCCACUGAUAAUUGAAGGGCCGCGGUAUUCUGACCGUGCAAAGGUAGCAUAAUCAUUAGUCUUUUAAUUGGGGACUGGAAUGAAUGGUUUGACGAGAUAGUGACUGUCUUUUUUAUAAAAUUUGAAUUUUACUUUUAAGUUAAAAGGCUUAAUUGAUGUAUAGGGACGAGAAGACCCUAUAGAUCUUUAUUAUUUAAUGAGGAUUGUGAAUGAUUAGAUGUUGAAUUGUUUUAGUUAAAAAAUUUUGUUGGGGUGACGUGGGAAGAGAAAAACUUCUUAUUAUUGAAACUUUGAUUGAUGAUUAAAUGAUCCUAUAAUUUGGAUGGAAGAUUAAGAUACCUUAGGGAUAACAGCGUUAUCUUAUUUGAGAGUUCAUAUCGACAAUAAGGAUUGCGACCUCGAUGUUGGAUUAAGAUUAUAUUUUGGUGUAGUAGUUAAAAUUAUUGGUCUGUUC
rnacentral:rRNA from 1 species